UUCACGGACCAGUUUCCACCAAAAUAUCCAGCACGUGGUUGACAACAAGCUCUAAAUGAGAUAGCAUGGACACUGGAAGUGACCCAGCUCCGACCAUUAAUUGAAAAGCAGAAACAUUCUGACUUCCCUUUAAAGUAUAUGGGACAUCACACCAGAUUAUUUUCCAAUCUGAAAUUACAAGACUCGAUGAAACAGGGUUUUAUAUGUUGUUUUUACCCUGAAACCUGAGAGUAUUACUUGGUAUGUUAAAAAAAGAAGCCAACCAAUGAUUAUUUUGUGGGACCAAACCAACACCACUAUACACAUGAAGUGGUGUAGAAAUAUCUGAAUUUAUUGGCUUCAGUGUUCUUUCAUAAAACCUGAGGACUACAUCACAGCGGAUGUUUUUGGAUUCUCCUAGUGAACCACUGACUCUUUCAUUUUGCUGUGCACCAGCUGAAGAGCAAGAUGUAACUUCUGAGUAUGUCCUGCUAGGAUUUUCUUCAUCCUUGAAUGACACAUCUUUUCCCCUUCUCACCACGUAAGGCUACGAAAGCUGUGUACCCACGCCAGAGCGCUCCGCACCAGCAGUGAGGCGAACACCUCAGCCCUGGAGCGUCCGUGCACGUGGCAGCCGCAGUCUUACAAAAGGCAGCGCUAGCCGGGCUUCCCAGCUGCCCGAGGCCACAGGGAACAAAAGCCCCACCCACCUGAUUGAAUCAUAUAGCCCCAGAAAUGGACAGAGUUACUUUUAUGAAAAAAAUCCACAAAAUGUCU